rnacentral:lncRNA from 10 species
CAUGACACCCAAGGUGGACUUUUUGGUUUGCCGUUCCUCACAGGUUGAUUGCCACUUCCAGUAAAUGAUGGUUCAGUUACAUUAUUUAUAAAAAGCAGGCAGGGGUUGAUCAGAUGGUGACUCCCAACUGGUUCACCUUCCAACAUUUCUGUUUAUUAAGCAGACGGCAUAAAUUAAUAAAGAAUAUAUUCAUUCACUGAGCUUCUACAAAGUGCGAGGCAUUAGAAAAUAAAACAGACAAGGUCCCCUAUUGCAAGGGACUUCCAGAAUAAAGUCCAAAUUUCUUAGUCUAGCAUUCAGUGUUCUCUAUGUAUUUAAUAAACCCUAUGUAUAUAAUAGUCUAUUUCUAGGCUCACUUACCAUUCUAUCCUCCUGGUAUCUUGCUUACUUACCAAACUUGUGGAAGGAGACCCAGCGUUUUCUUGCCUGGCAGUGCCUUUGCCUUUCUUUUUCUAGUUCCCCAUUCCUCUGACUGGGGGAGGAUCUGGACCCUUAGGCUUCCUAGUGGGAGGCAGGCAAACAGCUUCAACAACAGGAAUGUAUCAGGAUUACAUUCAAUUGCAAAUAACAAAAGAAAAAAA